UUCGAGCCGCCGCCACACAGCCGUGGCCUCUCGCUGCUUUUCUCUUUCUCCUCGUUGCUGUGCUGCUUGUUCUUUGUGGGGAGGUCUGGGGUGGUGGGUGUGAAGCCCACCCUCUGAAGCCUCCGCUCUUGCUUUCCUUCUUUUUUUGUUUGUCAGAAAUGGGGAGUGUGUGCCCUCUUCUCUCAAGGCCCUGGGACAGCUGUGAGGCAGCUCACUUGGAAGAGGCAAAUGCCAGGGAGGAUACAAAACUCACCAGUCCACAUGAUUUGUCACAGUGUUUGUAGUGAAUCACUUGCUGGUGCUACAGAUUAGUGCUGAACAGAGGUGUUUCCAUUCCAGCAUCAACACUAAACUUCAUGGUUGCCUCAGCCUAUGACUGUUGUGAUGACGGUAAAACUCUUCCCACCCCAUUCCAAACAACAGCGUGUUUGUGUAGAAGGGAAGAAUAUGUUCUUCAGAGUUGUCUGUUACCUUUCUUUCUCUCUACAAAAGGGUUGUAACUUAACUGCAGACUUCCAAAUCUUAUCCCCAGAAUAAAGUCUUUCUGUAAGUAAAAGUGAUGUGUUUAGGAGUGUAUAUUACUUCUUAAUAUUGCUUGUUUUUGUAUUGUUUUUCUAAGACCAAGUGAAAGAGAGAAGGAUACCUGUGUUUGGAUUAGUGGGGAGAGCCAAACAUAUCUGGGAAGAAAAUCAGAUAAUAUUUGAAUAUACUUUUUAAAAAUUUGCUUUUCAAUCCAUCAGGGUUUUUUUUUAAGCUCUGUGCAUUUGCAGUGGUGGUUCUUACAUGAAUAGGCACCUGGAUAUUCUUAGAUUGAUUUGUAAAACAGCCAUCUGUAUGUUCAGCUCCUUAAAAGACUGCUUUCCAGCUGUUAGCAGUGAAAUUAUUUCAUUUAGUUUAAAAGAAAAAAAAGGUAAUCCCUCCAGUUCACACUGUGUGUGUGUGUGUUUCUUUGGAGCUACAGGUAGGGUGACUGUAGCAUGCACAGCAAUUCCUGUGUAUUAUGUAAUUAAGUAAUUCCCCUUUUGCAAAAGGUACCUGGUGUCUCACUGCUGUAACUCAUGGAGUUCCCAGCUGAUAACAGGGAACUGUCUUCCAAUAUCUUCUGUACCCCAAUAUCUUAUACCUGUAUUCAUUAAAGUGCUUACCAAAUGUUA